AACGAACGCUGGCGGCGUGGAUAAGACAUGCAAGUCGGACGCUGAUUGCCGGGUAGCAAUAUUCGGCGGUCGGAGUGGCGAUAGGGUGCGUAACACGUGGGCAAUCUGCCGUGAAGUCGGGGAUAACUUGCUGAAAGGCGAGCUAAUACCGGAUGUGGUUUUGGGAGGGCAUCUUUCUGGAACCAAAGUUGGGGACCGCAAGGCCUGACUCUUCAUGAUGAGCCCGCGGCCUAUCAGCUAGUUGGUGAGGUAAUGGCUCACCAAGGCAAAGACGGGUAGCUGGUCUGAGAGGACGACCAGCCACACUGGAACUGAGACACGGUCCAGACACCUACGGGUGGCAGCAGUCGAGAAUUUUUUACAAUGGGCGAAAGCCUGAUGGAGCGACGCCGCGUGGGGGAUGAAUGGCUUCGGCCCGUAAACCCCUGUUAUUUGCGAACAAACCUUUCCACCCAACACGUGGAGAGCUGAUUGUAGCGAAAGAGGAAGGGACGGCUAACU
rnacentral:rRNA from 1 species